UUGGAUUAAAUCAUUAUAAGUCUACAUUUUGAAAAUUGAAGUUACACAAAGUAGUGGGACAUACAUUGAUUUUAUCUAA
rnacentral:pre_miRNA from 1 species